rnacentral:misc_RNA from 1 species
UGUUAUUCUUUCAUUACAGAGCAAGAAUGGGGGUUUAUCAGCGUGGGAACCUGCAGGGGCCCCAGAGUAUUUGGAGUUGUUAAAUCCUACUGAAUUUUUCGAGGAUAUUGUGAUUGAGCACGAGCAUGUUGAGUGCACUAGCUCGGCAAUCCAAGCACUUGUUCGUUUUAAGAAGCUAUACCCUGGACACCGAACCACGGAGGUUGACAAUUUUAUUAAUAAUGGUGUUAAAUAUAUUGAAGAUGUACAGGAGCCGG